rnacentral:antisense_RNA from 1 species
GGCAGGAUCAAAAGCAGCUCCUGCAUGGGGACGCUGUGUCCUCCUGCUGUUAUCAUAGCAUGCCGUGUGCUCCCAGGAGGAGGCUGCGGUCAUAAAGGGCAUUGUGGCACCUACCUUGAUUUCUCUUGGAUCACUCGUUCUGAGGGAAGAUAGCUGCCAUGUUGGGAGGACGUGCAAGCAGCCCUGUGAAAAGGUCAACACAGUGGGGAACUGAAGCCCCUUCCGAACAGCUAGCACCGACUUGCCAGCCAUGUAAAGUGACCCACCUUGGAAACAGAUCCUCCAGCCUCAGCCAAGCCUUCAGAUGCAACCUCAUGACAGACCCUGAACCAG